CACGUAGGGUGCGAGCGUUGUCCGGAAUUAUUGGGCGUAAAGAGCUCGUAGGCGGUGUGUCGCGUCGGCCGUGAAAACCUGCAGCUUAACUGUGGGCUUGCGGUCGAUACGGGCAUCACUGGAGUUCGGCAGGGGAGACUGGAAUUCCUGGUGUAGCGGUGAAAUGCGUAGAUAUUGGGAGGAACACCAGUGGCGAAGGCGGCUCACUGGACCGGAACUGACGCUGAGGCGCGAAAGCGUGGGGAGCAAACGGG
rnacentral:rRNA from 1 species